AUGAACGCUAGCUACAGGCUUAACACAUGCAAGUCGAGGGGCAGCAUGGUCUUAGCUUGCUAAGGCCGAUGGCGACCGGCGCACGGGUGAGUAACACGUAUCCAACCUGCCGUCUACUCUUGGACAGCCUUCUGAAAGGAAGAUUAAUACAAGAUGGCAUCAUGAGUCCGCAUGUUCACAUGAUUAAAGGUAUUCCGGUAGACGAUGGGGAUGCGUUCCAUUAGAUAGUAGGCGGGGUAACGGCCCACCUAGUCUUCGAUGGAUAGGGGUUCUGAGAGGAAGGUCCCCCACAUUGGAACUGAGACACGGUCCAAACUCCUACGGGAGGCAGCAGUGAGGAAUAUUGGUCAAUGGGCGAGAGCCUGAACCAGCCAAGUAGCGUGAAGGAUGACUGCCCUAUGGGUUGUAAACUUCUUUUAUAAAGGAAUAAAGUCGGGUAUGGAUACCCGUUUGCAUGUACUUUAUGAAUAAGGAUCGGCUAACUCCGUGCCAGCAGCCGCGGUAAUACGGAGGAUCCGAGCGUUAUCCGGAUUUAUUGGGUUUAAAGGGAGCGUAGAUGGAUGUUUAAGUCAGUUGUGAAAGUUUGCGGCUCAACCGUAAAAUUGCAGUUGAUACUGGAUAUCUUGAGUGCAGUUGAGGCAGGCGGAAUUCGUGGUGUAGCGGUGAAAUGCUUAGAUAUCACGAAGAACUCCGAUUGCGAAGGCAGCCUGCUAAGCUGCAACUGACAUUGAGGCUCGAAAGUGUGGGUAUCAAACAGGAUUAGAUACCCUGGUAGUCCACGCUGUAAACGAUGGAUACUAGGUGUGGGGGGACUGACCCCUUCCGUGCCGCAGUUAACACAAUAAGUAUCCCACCUGGGGAGUACGAUCGCAAGGUUGAAACUCAAAGGAAUUGACGGGGGCCCGCACAAGCGGAGGAACAUGUGGUUUAAUUCGAUGAUACGCGAGGAACCUUACCCGGGCUUAAAUUGCAGAUGAAUUACGGUGAAAGCCGUAAGCCGCAAGGCAUCUGUGAAGGUGCUGCAUGGUUGUCGUCAGCUCGUGCCGUGAGGUGUCGGCUUAAGUGCCAUAACGAGCGCAACCCUUGUUGUCAGUUACUAACAGGUUCCGCUGAGGACUCUGACAAGACUGCCAUCGUAAGAUGUGAGGAAGGUGGGGAUGACGUCAAAUCAGCACGGCCCUUACGUCCGGGGCUACACACGUGUUACAAUGGGGGGUACAGAGGGCCGCUACCACGCGAGUGGAUGCCAAUCCCCAAAACCUCUCUCAGUUCGGACUGGAGUCUGCAACCCGACUCCACGAAGCUGGAUUCGCUAGUAAUCGCGCAUCAGCCACGGCGCGGUGAAUACGUUCCCGGGCCUUGUACACACCGCCCGUCAAGCCAUGGGAGCCGGGGGUACCUGAAGUGCGUAACCGCGAGGAGCGCCCUAGGGUAAAACUGGUGACUGGGGCU
rnacentral:rRNA from 1 species